AGGGAAUUUUCCGCAAUGGGCGAAAGCCUGACGGAGCAACGCCGCGUGAGUGAGGACGGCCUUCGGGUUGUAAAACUCUGUUCUUGAGGAAGAAUUCCUUCCAGGCGAACAGCCUGGGAGGUUGACGGUACUCAAGGAGAAAGCCCCGGCUAACUACGUGCCAGCAGCCGCGGUAAUACGUAGGGGGCGAGCGUUAUCCGGAAUUAUUGGGCGUAAAGCGCGCGCAGGCGGCCGAUUAAGUCAGGUGUGAAAGGCUGCGGCUCAACCGCAGAGCGGCACCUGAAACUGGUCGGCUUGAGUGCAGGAGAGGGGAGCGGAAUUCCCGGUGUAGCGGUGGAAUGCGUAGAGAUCGGGAGGAACACCAGUGGCGAAGGCGACUUCCUGGACUGUAACUGACGCUGAGGCGCGAAAGCUAGGGGAGCAAAC
rnacentral:rRNA from 1 species